rnacentral:piRNA from 1 species
UCCACGUUUACGCUGACUCCUCCAGUGCCU